CCGCGUGGAGGAUGACGCAUUUCGGUGUGUAAACUCCUUUUAUAAGGGAAGAUAAUGACGGUACCUUAUGAAUAAGCACCGGCUAACUCCGUGCCAGCAGCCGCGGUAAUACGGAGGGUGCAAGCGUUACUCGGAAUCACUGGGCGUAAAGGAUGCGUAGGCUGGAAAUCAAGUCGAGAGUGAAAUCCAACGGCUCAACCGUUGAACUGCUCUCGAAACUGGUUACCUAGAAUAUGGGAGAGGUAGAUGGAAUUGGUGGUGUAGGGGUAAAAUCCGUAGAUAUCACCAGGAAUACCGAUUGCGAAGGCGAUCUACUGGAACAUUAUUGACGCUGAGGCAUGAAAGCGUGGGGAGCAAACAGGAUUAGAUACCCUGGUAGUCCACGCCCUAAACGAUGCACACUAGUUGUUGCGAUGCUAGUCAUUGCAGUAAUGCAUUUAACAGAUUAAGUGUGCCGCCUGGGGAGUACGGUCGCAAGAUUAAAACUCAAAGGAAUAGACGGGGACCCGCACAAGCGGUGGAGCAUGUGGUUUAAUUCGAAGAUACACGAAGAACCUUACCUGGCCUUGAUAUCCUAAGAAUCCUUUAGAGAUAAGGGAGUGCUAGUUUACUAGAACUUAGAGACAGGUGCUGCACGGCUGUCGUCAGCUCGUGUCGUGAGAUGUUGGGUUAAGUCCCGCAACGAGCGCAACCCUCGUGAUUAGUUGCUAACAGUUCGGCUGAGCACUCUAAUCAGACUGCCUUCGCAAGGAGGAGGAAGGUGAGGACGACGUCAGUCAUCAUGGCCCUUAUGGCCAGGGCUACACACGUGCUACAAUGGCUAGGACAAAGAGACGCGAUACUGCGAAGUGGAGCAAAUCUUAAAACCUAGUCUCAGUUCGGAUUGGAGUCUGCAACUCGACUCCAUGAAGCUGGAAUCGCUAGUAAUCGUAGAUCAGAUAUGCUACGG
rnacentral:rRNA from 1 species